UACGAAGGGGGCGAGCGUUGUUCGGAAUUAUUGGGCGGAAAGGGCGCGUAGGCGGUGCGGUAAGUCUGUAGUGAAAUCUCUGGGCUCAACUCAGAGUCUGCUGCAGAAACUGCCGUGCUUGAGUGUGGGAGAGGUGAGUGGAAUUCCCGGUGUAGUGGUGAAAUGCGUAGAUAUCGGGAGGAACACCAGUGGCGAAGGCGACUACCUGGCCUGUUCUUGACGCUGAGGCGCGAAAGCUAGGGGAGCAAACGGG
rnacentral:rRNA from 1 species